rnacentral:lncRNA from 1 species
GGACACCCAGGCUCGGAGAACUGAGGGGCGGGGCCCCGCGCGUACCCUGACCUCCUGACUCCAGUGUUCCCCCGACUCCAGGCCACCUGCUUUAAGAAUCCUAAGAGUUAGGUUUACUGAGCGCUUCCUGCGCGUGGGCACUGUGUAAGGAACCGUCCCAAACCCCUGACGUUGGCCUGGUCUCUGCAUCUUGCGGAAGAGAUCCGCCGAAGAGUAUGCGAUGGAGCGAAAUCCAAGAGGAAAUGGGACAGGAUGGAACGCACGACAAAUGGAGAGCUUAGACCCAGAAAGGAAGAGCGGACUCUAUUCCUCUGAGACGGCCAGGUGCCACGUUGUGAGCUGCCUGGUGGAGAGACCACACCGGCUAGGAACUGAGGAGGCCCCAUGGAGACACGAGGCCCGCCAACAACCACAGGAGCAAGCUCGGAGUGGCUCCUUCCCAGCGGGGCCUUAGAUGAUCGCAGCGCCGCCGACACCUGACUGCAGCCUGUGGGAGACCCUGAGCCAGAGCAUGCGGGUAAGUCUUGCCCAAAUUCCUGACGCACGGUAACUGUGAGCUAAUAAACAUUUAUUGUUUUACGCUGAUAACUUGGGG